AUAUUAAUAAGCGGAGGAAAAGACACCAACAGGGAUUCCCUUAGUAACGGCGAGUGAAAAGGGAGAAGCGCAACAUGGGAAUCAUGCCGUAAGGUGUGAGUUGUAGGGUUGCAGUGUUUGCCUUGGGCAACGUGGCGUGCAAGUCUCUUGGAAUAGAGCAGCAUAGAGGGUGAUACUCCCGUACCGCGCUACCGCGUCUGUGAUGGCAAGCAUUAGGCGAGUCGAGUUGUUUGGGAAUGCAGCUCCAACGGGUGGUAAACUCCAUCCAACGCUAAAUAAUGGUGAGAGACCGAUAGCGCACAAGUA
rnacentral:rRNA from 1 species